GAAAAAAACGCAAUGCGGUGUGCUCUGAUUGGCCAAUGCUCUUUGACGUCACGGACUCGACCUUGACAGAGCCAAUAGGCGAAAAGGAGAGAUGGGAAGUAUUUUUUUCGCCCCGCCCAGAAAGGGUGGAGCACGACGUCGAGCGCAGCCAAUGGGAGCCCAGGAGGCGGGGCGCCAGUGGGAGUCGAGAAGGGAACUUUCCCAGGCCCCGAGGUGGAUCGGGUGUUGAGUCCAUGGAGCGAGCUGAGAGCUCGAGUACAGAAACUGCUAAGGCCAUCAAAUCUAUUGGUCGGAAGUCAGUCCAUGAGAUUCGCUCUGGGCCCCUGGUACUGAGUCUAAGCACUGCGGUGAAGGAGUUAGUAGAAAACAGUCUGGAUGCUGGUGCCACUAAUAUUGAUCUAAAGCUUAAGGAUUAUGGAGUGGAUCUCACUGAAGUUUCAGACAAUGGAUGUGGGGUAGAAGAAGAAACUUCGAAGGCUUAACUCUGAAACAUCACACAUCUAAGAGUCAAGAGUUUGCCGACCUAACUCAGGUUGAAACUUUUGACUUUCAGGGGGAAGCUCUGAGCUCACUUUGUGCACUGAGCAAUGUCACCAUUUCUACCUCAUGCAUCGGCGAAGGUUGGGACUCAACUGGUGUUUGAUCACAAUGGGAAAAUCAUCCAGAAAACCCCCUACCCCUGCCCCAGAGGGACCACAGUCAGCGUGAAGCAGUUAUUUUCUACGGUACCUGUGCGUCAUAAGGAAUGUCAAAGGAAUGUUAAGAAGGACUCCUAGAAGUACCCCACCGCCCACCCCCACCCCUGCUCCCAGGAGGACAACGUGAUCACUGUAUUCAGCUCCAUCAAGAACGGUCCAGGUUCUUCUAGAUGAUCUGCACAAAUGGCUCCUCUCCUCCUUCCUGGUGUCUGCCAUUAGCAUUGGAAUAAAGUUCCUGCUGAAAAUCCGCAUCUCCCCUGGGCCUGGUGUUCUGGAAGUGAGAGAGACGAUGUGACACUUCAAGGAGGCAGCUCUCUAGACAGGAAGCUUAUUCACGUCCCAUGUCAAGUCUAACUAGAGUUCAGAGCAAUUGAGAAAUGCAAUUUUAUCUCCUGUCUUUCAUUCUAUACCCUGCUUCUGAACGAUCAUGUUCAACUGUGAUAAGCUUUGGUGACCAUGACUCCAAAACUCACUUAAUAUACCCAAGGUCAGCCCCAGUGAUCUGCUUCAUAGCAAGGACUUUGGGUGGGUCUGCCCAGGGAGUAGGGUAUUCUCAGAGAAUGUGGCUUUGGACUUCAUCACAGCUGGGGCCUUUUGUGUCACUUAAUAUCUAAACUUGUAACCAUGCUAGAUCUGUUUCUAAUGUGACAACAUCGCGAACCACGAGUCCAGAAGCCUAAUCCUAAUCCUCCCUCCUCAUGAUGAAGUCUCGUGCUCUGUGCUCAACGUGGUUAUCUGCGCAAGAUGUAAACCAAAGCUUCACUGAACCCUCGACCCAAAUCGGUACCUCAAGUGCAUCAAUCAUAAUGAACCUCCCCAAACUCAGUAUUUAUGAUCAUUUUUGAGGCAGAGUCUUACUCUGUCGCCCAGGCUGGAGUGCAGUGGCAGGAUCAGGGCUCCCUGCAGCCCCGACCUCCCAGGCUCCAGCGAUCCUCCUGCCUCAGCCUCCUGAGUAGUUGGGAGUAGAGAUGCCUCCCACAUCGCCUGGCUAAUUUUUGUAUUUUUGUGGAGAGAGGAUCUUGCCACAUUGCCCAGGCUUGAAGCCGGAUCAAGCAAUUGGGUUCCUCGGAUUUCUGAAAUAGACCCCAAUAUUCUGCCUUUACCCCGGAGGAUGCAGAUGUACCUUCUCUCAGGCCGAUGACCUCAGGCCUCCACGGUCCCUGGAGCUCUAGGAAAGGCGGGCACGAUCUCGCGCCCACACCCAGUGUUCUGGGUCAUAAGCCUGGAUCUGGAGAAACAAACACCCUUUGAGAAGAUGAGGACUCGCCAGGAUACCCAUCUCUCCCCUCAUCCAGCCUCCAGCCCACCCGAUUCCUCCCCACCUCCUCCACCUCCCUAGGCCCCACCCACCUCCUCCAACUCCUCCGGGGAAACCCAAGCCCUGCAGCGCAUGGAACAGAAGAACUGGAACCGAAGCUCCUGGAACAAGGC